rnacentral:rRNA from 1 species
GAUGAACGCUGGCGGCGUGCCUAAUACAUGCAAGUCGAGCGAACAGACGAGGAGCUUGCUCCUCUGACGUUAGCGGCGGACGGGUGAGUAACACGUGGAUAACCUACCUAUAAGACUGGGAUAACUUCGGGAAACCGGAGCUAAUACCGGAUAAUAUAUUGGACCGCAUGGUUCAAUAGUGAAAGACGGUUUUGCUGUCACUUAUAGAUGGAUCCGCGCCGCAUUAGCUAGUUGGUAAGGUAACGGCUUACCAAGGCAACGAUGCGUAGCCGACCUGAGAGGGUGAUCGGCAACACUGGAACUGAGACACGGUCCAGACUCCUACGGGAGGCAGCAGUAGGGAAUCUUCCGCAAUGGGCGAAAGCCUGACGGAGCAACGCCGCGUGAGUGAUGAAGGUCUUCGGAUCGUAAAACUCUGUUAUUAGGGAAGAACAAAUGUGUAAGUAACUAUGCACGUCUUGACGGUACCUAAUCAGAAAGCCACGGCUAACUACGUG